rnacentral:rRNA from 1 species
GAUAAACGCUGGCGGCGUGCAUAACACAUGCAAGUCGAACGAUGAAGAUUAAAUGAUUUCUUCGGAAUGAACUUAAUUGGAUUAGUGGCGGACGGGUGAGUAACGCGUGAGUAACCUGCCUUGUACAAGGGGAUAGCCGUUGGAAACGACGAAUAAUACCCUAUGACAUCAAAUAAUCGCAUGAUAAUUUGAUCAAAGAUUUAUCGGUAUAAGAUGGACUCGCGUCUGAUUAGCUAGUUGGUGAGGUAAC